GCUCGCUCAGUUGCACUCCUCUUUCCUUGCAAAUUAAUGUGGAUUUGAAAAACGUCUCACAAUAUUGGUGGCAAAAUCUUACUUCUCUCGAGAAUCUUGAGUUUAUGGAUUUUUCAAGUCAACAAUUUCAAGCAAUUGAAAUCUGGUUGUUUAAGGAAGACUUCAAUUAUCUUCCUUCAUUGCGAAAUAUUGAAUUUCACUAUUGUUACCAUAUAAAGGCAUUGCCAGAUUGGAUAUGCAAAAUCUCAUCACUUCAGCAUAUCACGAUAGAGGAUUGUAAUGAAUUGACAUUGCUACCUGAAGGAAUGACACGUCUUACCAACUUACAUACCUUGGAAAUCAUUAGAUGUCGACUCUUAAUUGAAGAAUGUCAGAAAGAAACAAGUGCAACUCGGCCUACAAUUGCACACAUCCCAAACAUAAUCAUCAAAAGUGAUUGGAAUUAGAAAGAAGAGUUAUGUGUACAAGCUAGCUAGCUUGCUCAAUAAAAGAAAUGGAUCCAUGGAGGAGAUGCUUGAAGAAUGCUGUUUGAUGGAAACUUAUGUGUACUACUAGUUUUAUUUUGUAGAAUAACUUGUUUAGCUCUAUUGGAAUGAUUUUAAUCGUAAUAGGUUAGGUUUAUUUUUGUAUGUGUUUUGUUGAUUUGAUUGUUUAUGUUUGAAAUCAUGUCUUAUCUCUGUACUCUUUUUCCCUUCACCAAGGUUUUAUCCCACUGGGUUUUACUUGGUAAGGUUUUUAACGAGACAGAGAGUUUCUCUCGCACCUUGGGUUUUGGUCUGGUCCCCCUAAGGUUCAUUUGUAUUCUUCUUAUUUUAUUUUUAUUUAAUAUAUUUCAUUUGAGUGUUUA